CCUACGGGAGGCAGCAGCGAGGAAUCUUGGGCAAUGGGCGAAAGCCUGACCCAGCGACGCCGCGUGGGGGAAGAAGGCCUUCGGGUCGUAAACCCCUUUUGCCGGGGAAGAAGAUCUGACGGUACCCGGCGAAGAAGCCACGGCUAACUACGUGCCAGCAGCCGCGGUAACACGUAGGUGGCGAGCAUUGUCCGGAUUUAUUGGGCGUAAAGGGCGUGUAGGCGGUCCGUUAAGUCCGCUGUGAAAUCUCUGGGCUAAACUGGGGGGGGGCAGCGGAUACUGACGGGCUAGAGGGAGGCAGAGGAGGGCGAAAUCCCGGGGGUAGGGGUGAAAUGCGUAGAUAUCGGGAGGAACACCAGUGGCGAAGGCGGCCUUCGGGGCCCACCCUGACGCUGAGGCGCGAAAGCGGGGGGAGCGAACCGGAUUAGAUACCCGAGUAGU
rnacentral:rRNA from 1 species